rnacentral:rRNA from 1 species
CCUACGGGUGGCAGCAGUGGGGGAUAUUGCACAAUGGGGGAAACCCUGAUGCAGCGACGCAGCGUGUGGGAAGACGGUCCUCUGGAUUGUAAACCACUGUCCUCAGGGACGAAGAUGACGGUACCUGGGGAGUAAGCUCCUGCUAACUACGUGCCAGCAGCCGCGGUAAUCCGUAGUGAGCACGCGUUGUCCGGAAUUCCUGGGUGUAAAGGGAGCGUAGGCGGGGUGGCAAGGUGUGUGUUAACUCUACCGGCUAAACUGGUAGUCGCACUCAAAACUGCUAUUCUUGAGUGAAGUAGAGGCAGGCGGAAUUCCUAGUGUAGCGGUGAAAUGCGUAGAUAUUAGGAGGAACACCAGUGGCGAAGGCGGCCUGCUGGGCUUUUACUGACGCUGAGGCUCGAAAGUGUGGGGAUCAAACAGGAUUAGAUACCCGAGUAGUC